CUCAAGUGGAAAGAGUACUGCGCCACCUCCAUUGAAACCCUAAGCUCAUCGAAACACGCCCACUGCUCUCCUCUUACAAGCCCCUGCCCCGACGUCGCCAAGCACAAGAAGCAUCAGCAAUCGGCACCCUUACCCCUGAAUUCGGUAGCCUACGGCGUCGUUUCCGCUCUGGACGGUGCUUCCUUGUCCUCUGGGGCUUCUGAGACCACUCAUCCGGCGAAGGAGUUGGUGCAGGAGAGAAAGAGGAAGAGGUCGCCGAGUUGCGGCGGUGGAGCCAAUUCUACUGCUUUGGCCUGCGUUUCGUACGAAGCGUGCUGACGUCACAGCAUUUUCGUCUUGGCGGGACUUUGACACGCGGUUGGUGCUCGCAGUGGUAGAUCUGUGAUAUUCGUAGAAGGCAAGGGGUGUUUCUGUACAUUCACUUCAGGCAGUGGUAGAUUUGUGUUUCGAAAGUAGUAUCGACGAAUUGAUAACGAUCUAAAUGUAUUGGUUUGAUGACUGGAAUACAAUGAAAUUGGGAUUUUUAUCUUCU